UGGUUAAUUCGAAGCAACGCGAAGGAACCUUACCAGGUACUUGACAUCCCGAUGCUAUUCGUAGUAGAUAGAAGUUACUUGGUACCAUCGGCGACAGGUGGUGGCAUGGUUGUCGUCAGCUCGUGUCGUGAGAUGUUGGGUUAAGUCCCGCAACGAGCGCAACCCCUAUUCGUUAGUUGCCAUCAUUCAGUUGGGCACUCUAGCGAGACUGCCGGUAAUAAACCGGAGGAAGGUGGGGAUGACGUCAAAUCAUCCUGCCCCUUAUGACCUGGGCUACACACGUGCUACAAUGGUUGGUACAACGAGUUGCGAGUCGGUGACGGCGAGCUAAUCUCUUAAAAGCCAAUCUCAGUUCGGAUUGUAGGCUGCAACUCGCCUACAUGAAGUCGGAAUCGCUAGUAAUCGCGGAUCAGCACGCCGCGGUGAAUACGUUCCCGGGCCUU
rnacentral:rRNA from 1 species